GAUGAACGCUAGCGGCAGGCUUAAUACAUGCAAGUCGAGGGGCAGCAUGAUUGUAGCAAUACAAUUGAUGGCGACCGGCAAACGGGUGCGGAACACGUACACAACCUUCCAACAAGUGGGGGAUAGCCCAGAGAAAUUUGGAUUAAUACCCCGUAACAUAGCGAUGUGGCAUCACAUUGCUAUUAUAGACUUUUCGCUUGUUGAUGGGUGUGCGGCUGAUCAGAUAGUUGGCGGGGUAACGGCCCACCAAGUCUACGAUCAGUAGCUGAUGUGAGAGCAUGAUCAGCCACACGGGCACUGAGACACGGGCCCGACUCCUACGGGAGGCAGCAGUAAGGAAUAUUGGACAAUGGACGCAAGUCUGAUCCAGCCAUGCCGCGUGAAGGAUUAAGGUCCUCUGGAUUGUAAACUUCUUUUAUAAGGGACGAAAAAAGGCUUUUCUAAGUCGUCUGACGGUACCUUAUGAAUAAGCACCGGCUAACUCCGUGCCGGCCGCCGCUGUAACAC
rnacentral:rRNA from 1 species